GCCUAGAUAGCUCAGUUGGUAGAGCAGCUCACUUGUAAUGAGCAGGUCGGGGGUUCGAAUCCGCCUCUAGGCUCCA
rnacentral:tRNA from 2 species